AUCAAAUCUCAGAAAAUACAAAUACGACAGUCCGUCCAACACAAGGCCAGACAUCUCCUCGGCGAAGAGUUCAGGUGCUGCUCCGAGCCUCACUGCAGCAGCUGGUGAUUAGGCUCACCUGUACCUGAUUAACAAUCAGUGACAGGAUAUAAGAGCAGGAAAGAGGAGGCAGACAGUGUGUUUGUGUUCAGAUGUCUUCCCAAGACUUGACUUAAUCCUUCAGUGGAAGAAGCAUGGGUUUAGGGGUCUUUCCAAUUAGAGUUCAUUUCAUACAUAUUAAGAAAGUGGGAUCACGUUUUUUCCGGGGGCCAAUAUUUGUUCACAACAGUAGAAAGCGCCUCUAAAAGUGAGUGUAUCCCUAAAGACUGAGGCCAGCUGUCACUCACAUCUACAACGACAGAGGGAUGAAAGAUGUCCGAAACAAAGUGGCUCAAAGGUUUUUGAAAACUGAGAUUGGAAGCGUCUCACUGCAGCUUCUUAUCUGACCCAGUCUGCUGAUGUAGGAGACAAACACAAUGUUCUUCAUGCUCUGCUGAAUUCAUCGUGACAAACUUACGGUUACUUUUUGGUCCCUGGAAGUCACAACAAAGAUAAUGUAUCAAUAACAGCUACACAGGUAAAUCAGUGAACUGCAAAUCAGGAA